GCUUGUGUACAGCUGGUACUGGAGGAUGAGCAUGUGAUCGUGCCAGCGGUGCCAGUUAAAAAUGUUUGCGCUUUUGCGUGUACGAUGUUGUCUAUUGAGACAUGAGUUCUCACAGUAAUGCGUACAUUUUAUAUCAAGAUGUAUGCGAGGUGGGAAGCUUCAGCUCACAAUAUGGCAGCGACAAUAGCAUGUCGUACGCGGCCGUCAAUGUCAUCGGUCCCCCAUCCGUGUAUCCAGACUGUGGCGACUACGCCGAAACCUUCUCGACACGCUCAUACGGACCGUGGUGCUUGGACCUGUCAAUAGCGCACACCACUUUUUCUGGUCCUCUGCCCGAGCAUAGACAUGUCAGAAGCCAGGAUUUUCUUGAGGUACAGUUCGAGCGUGCAGUUCAACCGGUAGAACUGAAGAUCUUCGAGACCUACAACCCAGGCAGCAUAGUGCGGAUCCUCGCGUUUGAUGCAGUCGUGGAGAGAUGGAAAGAAAUCUGGACUGGAAAGCCCGGGAAACAUCCGAUCGCGCCUGCGCUUUUCACUCCUGCACUGAAAAAUGCGUGCUUUCAAACAAAGGCCAUUCGACUGGAGUUCUACCAUGCUCACCUCGAUUACUACUCGCAGUUAGAUGCCGUGUCUCUCGGAGGGGUGCCAAGACUUGCGUUUCGGUCUGCGUCCAAAGCUAGCAGGCACCACGAUAACGGCUCGAGCAAGAGUGUGACAUGUACAUCCGGAUUUCAUUUGUUGCCGCACGAGCUUCUGGUUUCCAUCUUCAGCCGACUAGACUUGCAGUCGAUUUUGACACUUUCAAGGUGUUGCACACUUUUCAAAAAAGUAUGUUACGACCAGGUGUUUUACCGAGUGCUGGACCUGCAGCCUUAUUGGGAGAAGGUGACAGAUGCUGCCUUGAAGUGUCUCCGGGGCAGAUGCUGUUCUUUACAGAAGUUAAAUUUGUCCUGGUGUGGGGCACAUGGUACUCUGACGUCAGAUGCCUUUGUGAGGUUUGUUGAAGCCACUGGAGCGCACCUACGCUGUUUGUGCCUGUCGUGCUGCCCAUUUGUGGACUAUGAAUGCCUCAAAACAAUUGCCAAUGAGUGCCCUAACAUUGAAGAUCUUGAGCUUAGAAGCUGUAUCCACCCGCUGUUGAACAGGCUGGGGUUUCUACAGAUAUCCCGCUUGUCAAAGCUGGUCCGCCUCGAUUUGUACAGGACGCAGAUAGAAAUGUUUGCCUUGAUUUCAAUUAUUAGGAGCUGUUCCCUGCUCGAAUACUUGUGCCUGGGAAGUUGCGCGGGCGUAAAUAACUAUGAUGACAUAGCCCUCGAGAUUGGAACGUACCUGAGAAAUAUCAAAAGCCUGGAUUUUUUUCGUGCAAGAACACUGUCAGCUGAAGGGGUGAAUGCACUUUCCAGGUCUUGUACUGGGCUGGUUGAUUUGGACUUUGGGUGGUGCUCAAGUAUCGAGUCCACAUGCAUCCAGGAGUUGGUACAAGAUUGCCCGAACUUGCGCAGGCUGUAUCUCACAUCUAUCAGGACAGUGUGCGAUGCAGACUUGAACGCAAUCGCAAGUUACUGUCGCAACCUCGAACAGCUCGACAUCUUGGGGUCAACUGAGGCAACGGCAGUCGGCGUUCAGUGGGUAUUGAGCAAGUGCAAGCACCUCGUCCUCCUGGACGUUUCGUUCUGCUGUAGAAUUAGCGUCUCAUCAGUUGAGGGUUGGAGAGAUCUGUUUCCGGCUGUCCAUAUCAAGCAGAGCGUAUCGCACGACAGUCAUUUACAGAUUGAGAUUCGGAGACUAUGAACUGUGGGUCCUCAUAUGGCCCGGCUCGCACCAGGAACAGGUUCUGGCCGAAGACUUAAGAACCCUGUGCUUUGCAAGAAUACAGCAUUGACCAAUGCCGCCAGCUCGUGCAGUCAGUCUCGUGCGAUGUCACCAUAAUUAUGCGGCAGGAGCAUUGUGAUGUAACAAUGAUUCUCGAUUCAAGCAAGCACUCGAGGAGGCAGCAACAGUUAUCUCGUCUGUAAGAUAUUGACGACUUUCAGCGGCGUCAUACAGGCAGGUCACGAUCGAUGUGAUCCUCCAGUGAAUUCCCUCACACUGCGGCUUCCCAAGUAACGAAACAGCAGACAAGAUGGCUAAGGAAGCGCUCGGCAAAACAAUGCGUAGCGGCAGUGUCACACGUGCUAGCAACCUUGGUGCGCUCCACCACAUGCACUUUCAAGGAACGAAGGUAUGGUGAAGUAGUCCUUCCCGUUCACCAUAAUGGAGAUGCAGGUGCCAACUAAAGAAACCAAAAUACUGCUACGACUGCUGCACCAAAAUACGCUGUCGUCUGCUGCUCGUCAAAUGCUGUCGUCUGCCAAGUGCAUGCGCCAAAAUGGCGCAUGUAGGCAUUGUUGCCCUUCAAGCCGGCCCAGGAGGCGACUAACCCCGUCAUCCCCACUUCCUUCUGCUGUCUUCUAGUGGAGAGGAUACAACGAACGUGCAGGGAGGUGGCAAAAGACUACAUUUAUUGUUUUGUGACCUUGCUACAAUGGCAAUAUAUAUUUUAGGAAUGACAAUGGUCAGAGCCUUUGAACGCACACUGCACCAGAGCAACGAAAAGUGGGCUGACGCUUCAGAGACAAGUCAUCGCUGCUCAAAAAGCUCCAGAGGACUUCUGCGCCGUGCGUUACUCUGGUUUCCGAAGAACUCUCUACAGCAACGAAGAAUAUGCAAGUACCUGCUUGACUGAAAUAAAAUUAUGUAUAGUCUGUC